UACGUAGGGGGCGAGCGUUGUCCGGAUUUACUGGGCGUAAAGAGCACGUAGGCGGCUUGUUAAGUCGGCUGUGAAAUCCCUCGGCCUAACCGAGGGGGGUCAGCCGAUACUGGCAGGCUUGAGGGUGGCAGAGGAAAGCGGAAUUCCCGGAGUAGUGGUGAAAUGCGUAGAUACCGGGAGGAACACCAGUGGCGAAGGCGGCUUUCUGGGCCUCUCCUGACGCUGAGGUGCGAAGGCGUGGGGAGCGAAC
rnacentral:rRNA from 1 species